GGAGCCGUAGCGAAAGCGAGUUUUAACUGAGCGUUCAGUUACUUGACGUAGACCCGAAACCGGGCGACCUACCCAUGAGCAGGAUGAAGCGAAAGUAAAAUUUCGUGGAGGUCCGAACCCACGAGCGUUGAAAAGCUCGGGGAUGACUUGUGGGUAGCGGUGAAAUUCCAAUCGAGCCCGGAGAUAGCUGGUUCUCCCCGAAAUAGCUUUAGGGCUAGCCUCAAGGUGAGAGAUACGGAGGUAGAGCACUGAAUGUCCUAGGGGGUAUUGCACCUACCGAAGACUAUCAAACUCCGAAUGCCGUCAUCUUAUACUUGGGAGUCAGACUGUGGGUGAUAAGAUUCAUAGUCGAAAGGGCAACAGCCCAGAUCGUCAGCUAAGGUCCCUAAAUGUAAGUUAAGUGGUAAAGGAUGUGGGAUUGCACAGACAACCAGGAUGUUGGCUUAGAAGCAGCCACUCAUUCAAAGAGUGCGUAAUAGCUCACUGGUCGAGUGAUCCUGCGCCGAAGAUUUCCGGGGCUAAAACUUACUACCGAAGCUACGGCAUCAGUAAUGAUGGGUAGGGGAGCUUCCCAUACGGGUUGAAGCAUGACCGUAAGGACAUGUGGACAGUAUGGGAGUGAGAAUGUUGGCAUGAGUAGCGAGAUGUGGGUGAGAAUCCCACAGGCCGUAAACCCAAGGUUUCCAGGGGAAGGUUCGUCCGCCCUGGGUUAGUCGGGACCUAAGCUGAGGCCGAAAGGCGUAGGUGAUGGACAACAGGUUGAUAUUCCUGUACUACCGAUAACCGUUUGAGAGAAGGGAUGACACAGUAGGAUAAGCUAAGCACACUGUUGGUUAUGUGUGCCCAAGCAUUGAGGCAGUCAAAGUAGGCAAAUCCGCUUUGAUAAUGCUGGGAUGUGAUGGGGAGCGAAAUUUAGUAGCGAA
rnacentral:rRNA from 1 species